GAUGAAGAACGCAGCGAAAUGCGAUAAGUAAUGUGAAUUGCAGAAUUCAGUGAAUCAUCGAAUCUUUGAACGCACCUUGCGCUCCUUGGUAUUCCUUGGAGCAUGCCUGUUUGAGUAUCAUGAAAUUCUCAAAGUAAAUCUUUUUGUUAAUUCAAUUAGGUUCACUUUGGAUUUGGAGGUUUUUUGCAGCUUCACACCUGCUCCUCUUUGUGCAUUAGCUGGAUCUCAGUGUUAUGCUUGGUUCCACUCGGCGUGAUAAGUUAUCUAUCGCUGAGGACACUUUUUUUUUGUUUUUUUUCUAAAAAUAAAUAAAUAACUAAGUGGCCAAGGGAAAUGCAGAUGAACCGCUUCCAAUAGUCCAUUAGCUUGGACAAAUAUAUUUUUAUGAUCUGAUCUCAAAUCAGGUAGGACUACCCGCUGAACUUAAGCAUAUCAAUAAGCGGAGGA
rnacentral:misc_RNA from 1 species